rnacentral:hammerhead_ribozyme from 1 species
AUUCAGAUGACGAGUCCCAGAUAGAACGAAACUAGAAUCCUAGAU